rnacentral:rRNA from 1 species
GAUGAACGCUGGCGGCGUGCCUAAUACAUGCAAGUCGAGCGAACGGACGAGAAGCUUGCUUCUCUGAUGUUAGCGGCGGACGGGUGAGUAACACGUGGAUAACCUACCUAUAAGACUGGUAUAACUUCGGGAAACCGGAUCUAAUACCGGAUAAUAUUUUGAACCGCAUGGUUCAAAAGUGAAAGACGGUCUUUCUGUCACUUAUAGAUGGUUCCGCGCUGCAUUAGCUAGUUGGUAAGGUAACGGCUUACCAAGGCAACGAUGCAUAGCCGACCUGAGAGGGUGAUCGGCCACACUGGAACUGAGAAACGGUCCAGACUCCUACGGGAGGCAGCAGUAGGGAAUCUUCCGCAAUGGGCGAAAGCAUGACGGAGCAACGCAGCGUGAGUGAUGAAGGUCUUCGGAUCGGAAAACUCUGUUAUUAGGGAAGAACAUAUGUGUAAGUAACUGUGCACAUAUUGACGGUACCUAAUAAGAAAGCAACGGCUAACUACGUG